UCCUUUUUGUAGUCUAGUAAACCAUACCAUGGAGGAAGAAAGAGUAAACUAAAUUCAUUCAAAAUAUAGGUCAAUAGCGAUAGCAGGGAAGACAGGCUUGUAUCCUUUUUAGCCUUUUUGAGAAAGUGGCAAAGGUUAAAUAUACAUACCUGUCUUGUUGUCUCUCUUUUUCCCUGAUAAACUAGAAGAGUAAAACUGAAACUUUCCACAUAAACUAAGGAGGCAAAAAUACUCAUGUCUCACCUGCCCUGCUAUCUUAGCCAGUUUUCACCAAGGUGAUGAUAGGUUUAGUAUUGCUAUCCUGUGGUACUCCUCACAACCUCACAAUAGAUUCAUUACUUAACCUAUUUUAUUUUCUUUUAUAGUAUUUUACAGAGUUUAUUAUAAAUACACUAUAUAACUUGAUAAUGUACUAUACCUAUGGAUGUGUAUAUAUACAUAAACUCAGUUUAUACCCAACAGAAACUUCUAUGUUGUAGCAUUGUGAAAAUAUAUCUUAGAACUCAAAUGAUUUUAUGGCACUGUCUGUAGUAGUGGUUAAACUCUCGAACUUUGUGCGAGAAGAACCGGGGUUUGAUUCCACUGGUGGCGAUUCAAUAUGGGCGAGUGAAUGUUACCAUAGCCCCGGAUUAACUGAAGCCAUGUGAGGAAAACUGGGUAGAUGGCAAAAUGUGUGGGCAUGUUGCAUUAAUUGCAUGUUGCAUUAAUUUUUUUAGUAGAGUGCAGACCCUAAUUGGGUUUGCAUAGCUCAAAAUGAGCAUAGAUACUCUAGGACUCCCCAUCUAAGCAACUGCCCCUCCUGGAAAUAAUAGACAGUGUAUAUCCCUUAAUAUUUGUGAGGCUAGCCAUGUAAAAUAUACACAUUUAUCUAUCUAUCUUUAAUGAUAAUGAAUAUAUACCUGUUUUUUCUUUGUUAGAAAUAUCUCUAAAAUAAAAUGAGCCUUAAAAAACCCCAAAAUUUUAAGAAAACUUUAAGAAAAUCUCCAGCCUCAGUGUGGUAAGAUUCAAUUUUUGUAGGCCUUGAUUUUUACAUUUACAGUUAUUAAAUCACCAUAAUUUCAAAAACACAACACAAUCAAAUUUGAUCCUAACAAAGUUUUUUCCCAAAAAAUAACAAAAGAAGUCUUUUUCUCUUCAUUAUAAAAUAAAAGAUAUUUUUUAAAAAAUACAUAACUAUAACUUCAAAUAAAAGAAUACAACUAAUUCAGUUUGAGAAAGUGAAAAUAGAAACAAAAAAUGAAGAAAACAUUUGCUAAGAAAAUUGGGGCUUAAUUCAAAAAACAUUUUUCUUAUAAAAAACGUGCAUGUUUUAGAACAAGGGGAUGCACUUUCUUGUCAUUUUUAAAAACCUGUUAUCAUUAGUAAUGUAUUAUAAGGCAUAUAUAUUCACAAAAUGCUCAUGCGUUAUUAUAUUCAAUAUGUAAACAUGUUUAGCAAUAUCACUGAAUCUUUGCAUCAAGUAAUACUUUAAGCUCAUAACUAAGAAAACCAAAAACUUUCCCAAACGUAUUAAAACCCAUCAACGUGUUCUAAAGCUUCCUUUUCCUAAUACUGACAAUCUUGAAAAACAGAAGUGUGUCAAUCUACAAUCUGAUAUUGCUUAUAUUGAUUUUAUAAAGAAUGUAGAAUCAUUUGCGUCAAAAAUCUUCAAAGGACCACUGUAUGUGUGUUAUAUGCAAUCGAUCAUCAUUUUUAUUAAAAAGCAAUGCAAAAAAUAAUGAUACCUUUGGUGGUAAAAAGUAUUUUGUCACACCAAAAUGCUUGAAAAAUGGGAUACUGUCCCAGGCUGUUUACAAUUUAUUAUAAAUGAAAUUCCAGAUUACCUGCAAUCAUUAAUAUGUCUUAAAGCCGCACUAACAUCGAAGCAAUUGUUAUUGAAAAAUAUCAUUAUUUAUGUCAAAAAAAUUAAAGGUGCAUUCUUCUUAUUGACCUGAAUGACAUGCAACAUUUCAAAAAAAAAUUUGGCCCCUGUAAAAGUGGAAUAUUGUCUGAUAAGGAGGAGGUCAAAAGGAAAAAAGCAAGAUUUUUAAGAGUCUGGAAAGUUUAGUAGACUUCUCAAACUGUUUCACAGUUCUGAAAAAUAUUUAGACCUUCACACAUCAUAUUUGCUGUAGCUGAAUUGAUUCACCAUAAAAAUAUAAAGACGUGACGCGUCAUAAGCAACUUUGUGGUGUAUGCAUCUCUGCUAUAACAGAAUGCAAUGGCUAAAUUAAAUAUAUGCCUUAUAUGCCUUUUUUUAGAAAUACAAAAUACAAAAGGCUCCAAAAUUUAAUUCCUUACCUAUCCUCUUCUCUUUUUUAAAAGAAGUUUUGUAAUUUCAGUUUUGUUUUACUGGAUUUUUCUGUCCAUGUGUUUUGUUGUUUUCAAUGCAAAAUAAGAUUGUAUACAUCAAAUCGAAAUUAGUGUCUAUGGGUGAGUUGCAAAUAUUUACAAAGUUGUACGUAUAUGCACAUGCGUAUUACAUGACUUCAAAUGCACUGGAAUAGUUUUUUGUCAACUACUUUGUUUGAAAGCAGUACUUAGGAUCUUUGAUUAUUGUGAUCUGUUGUUUAUAUUUUUUGUCUCUACAUAUGCAUGCACAUGUCAAUUCUAUGGUAAGAGAUGUGCUGCACAAAUCUCAGGUUCUUUCAAUCCUACUAUAUACAUAUAGUGUUGUUUUUGUUUUGUACAUUAGGUGUAGAAAUACAAGGAUAUGAUUAGUAGAUUAUCCCCAAAUCUAAAGAUUUUUUGUAACAAUUUCGCCAAUAUAAAUACUGUUUUGCAGUUGCUGUAGGUAAGAAAAAAAUAAAUAACUAUUUGUAGCUUGAGAAAGAAAAUCUUCUUUCAAUCUCAUCUAGACUGUGUCAGUUCUAAACUCAAACUCCUUUGCAUCAAGUCUGUCCUUAUUUCUUCCUCCAAUAUUUAAUAUGUUUUUAAAAUCAGAGUUAUGAACAACUAUGGAAGCUUUGAUGAAUCAAUUUUGGAAUAGUACCAACCCAUCAUCCUUGUCUGAAAGUCGUUACCUUUGGACAGACGCAUUUGCUGUGUGCAACUAUAUAGCACUGUACACAAAGUAUAGCAAUAAAAUAUUUCUCCAUAAAGCAUUGGAACUAGUAGAUAGUGUCCACUUUGUGCUGGGAAGAUAUAGUUUGCAAGAAUCACGUAAGGGUUGGAUAAGUGGCCUUACUGAAGACGAUGGAAAGUUGAACCCUACUCAAAAUGGUCUACGCAUAGGAAAAAAACUUUUAGAGAGAUCUGAACAUGACGCUUAUGAUGAAGACUUGGAGUGGGACCGAGAUGGACAAUACUUUCACUAUUUAACCAAGUGGAUGCAUGCACUGUGCGUUGUUGGUAACACCACUGGUGAUGUAAAGUAUAAAGACUGGGCUGUCAAGCUUGCUCAAGUUGUCCACGACAAAUUUGUGCAUUCAGUUGGAAAAAGAAAAAGAUUGUAUUGGAAAAUGAGUGUGAAUCUAAGCAGACCUUUAAUACAAAGUAUGGGCCACCACGAUCCUUUGGAUGGUCUAAUAACAUACCAGCAAAUUCAGUCCACUUUAUCAGAUGAUGCCAAAACAGUAUUAAGUAGGCAAAUAGCUGAAAUGUUGGGAAUCUGCGAAGGUCGGGAUUGGACGACUACAGAUCCUCUGGGAUUGGGUGGAUUGCUGUGUGAUGCUUAUCGUGUUCAUACGUUACUUGGUAGAGACGACGUUGCGUUAGAUACAAAACUUCUUGAGACAUUGCUACAAUGUGCUUGUAAGGGAUUGGAAGCGUAUGUAAGUAGCAGAGCAGGCCUUGGACUAUACAAAAACUCUGGAUUCCACUACCCGAUCACUUUCACUUUUGUUGGGAGGAGACAGAAAGAAUAGCAAUGUUUUGAUCAUAAAAUUUUAUAUGUUGGUGGAAAAUGAAGAUAUUUGCCUUCCAACGCAAAGUCAUGCCUUAAGACAUGUUUUUCCUGAAAGCUGAUAGCCUAUUUUAUCAAAUAAAACCAGUGGUUUGUGGCUGCCACUUUUUUUCUGAAAGAAAUUGGUCCUUGGAAAUGACCUUUCACAAGACUUCAUAAAUCGGGCACCAGUCCCAAAUUGUUCUAUGAUACAAAACAUGUUGGCACGAUUUCAUUGAAGUAAUUUUGACCCAACAAUUCACAAUUUCAAGCGUCAUUCAAACGUGAUUUGCAUGUGAAGAUUUGUUGACAGAAGCGGUUAAAAAAAAAAGAUGGAACAAUGAUGAAACAGAGGAGCUUGCCGAUUUGCUCGAUUACCACUUUUUGUUGGAUGCGUUUGAAAUAAGAAUAUAUUAUGAAUUGAAAUAAAAAAUACUUGUAAUAGCCUAAUUUGUAAACUAUUUUUAUAUAAUUCAGAUUGACUUUCGUGGUGAAAAAUCUCACGAUUAAGGAAUGGUCUAGGCUGAAAUGUCUAAAAAUGUGUGUGCUUUCGUUUAACACAUAUAUAACUGUACAAUUUUUUUCAUUUUCAAUCAGUUGCUAGUCUAACAACAACAACAAUAAUGAUAAACAUUUAAAGUGUUUCUAGCCCAGAAAAUCACAAAAAUCUAUUGUUAGUGGAUUAUUUCCAUUGGGGUCCACUGAGUCUGAGUGAAGCUAGCUUUCUCACAUUUACGUUUAGUUUUAGCAGGCUUCUAGAAAACUAAUCAAGACCAACCUUGAGCUAGCUAAGGUUACAGAUCACAUGAAUUAUUUUUUUUCCUUUUAAAAUUUAAUUUUAGAAGUAUAAUAAUUUACAUUUCUAAUAGUUGUCAACCAUUUUUUUUGUGAAAACGAAAGUGAAAUGUAUGGUGUAGAAAAGCUCAAAA